ensembl:lncRNA
CAGAGACUUGUCCUUAAGUCCCGCAGAGACAUCAUCAUGCAGGCUGCUGUUGGUCUGAAGAGAUCUCACUCACCGUACAACUGUUGUCCGUGUCUUCAUAAUGGAAACAUUUUUAAGGCUCUUUAAAAAUUGUCUGGGAAGUGCCCUAAAGAUAAGCAGACCUAAGUAAAUAAACAAACAUAUCCACGUUUAGAAGAUAUGAAAACUAAAUCCAGCUUUGUCCUGUUUGCCUGAACACCUGUGAUGUGUAUUGUACAACCACAGAGAUACCUUUGUAGUAGGAGAAGGUUUCCACAAGGGAGAAACAUACACAUGGGAAACAAGUGAAAUAGCCAACGUUGAGUGGGCAAGACAGUUGAAAUUUGGCUUCAUGACCACCCUACACCUUCUGAAUCAUUGGAAGAGUCAGCUUCUAGUGGUAACAGACCUGGGAAGCUGGUUAUAUGAGCCAUAUAAUGUGUCUUUUGUGUGGGAUUAAACAUUUUUUUCGUGUUAAUGCUUAUUCCAUGUUUUCUUUGGAAUUCAGAGUCAGCUUCAUGUCUCAGAUGAAGCAAACCAUUUUCAAAGAUUGGGAAAUGUAUUAUUUUUCUGGAAGCUGAUCAGUUUGUAUAAAGAUUAGUUAAUGAACACAUGACCAAUUUCAAAUUUUUCUAAUUAUGAAUACCCUAAACAAGGACUGUAUUUUUAUUAAUUUUGCAUACUGGUUCACAUAGUAAGGUUGGCUUAUUUUGUAGUCACAUUAGUAUAGAGUCCCACUAUUCAUAUCUUAUGG